UACGGUAGGUGCGAGCGUUGUCCGGAAUUAUUGGGCGUAAAGAGCUCGUAGGCGGUUUGUCACGUCUGCUGUGAAAUCCCGAGGCUCAACCUCGGGCCUGCAGUGGGUACGGGCAGACUGGAGUGCGGUAGGGGGAGAAUGGAAUUCCUGGUGUAGCGGUGGAAUGCGCAGAUAUCAGGAGGAACACCGAUGGCGAAGGCGGGUCUCUGGGCCGAUAUUGACGCUGAGGAGCGAAAGCGUGGGGAGCGAACAGG
rnacentral:rRNA from 1 species